GGAACAAAGGGCUGGUAUAUUCUAAAAAUGAAUACCGUAAACCUGGAUGGCUUCUUUGGAAGGUGAAAAGAAAGUUCCGCACUGGGAGCUGAAUGACCCAUGUUGCGUGGAGGAGCUGGUGGAUGUCUACGAUGUAGAGAGAGGCGUCCUGGUGCGCCGCACUAAGUUAGCUUUGACAAAAUCUGUGGUACUCUGUGUUAUGCACUUAUGCAAGUCCUGCAGCCCCUGCUGCCCUAUACUGUUAAACUAUUGUUUUCUUUGUUGUUCAGUACUGAUAUAGCAUUGCUAUAUCCGGCAAAAUGUUUUAGUUA